rnacentral:rRNA from 1 species
UACAGAGGGCUCAAGCGUUGUUCGGAUUCAUUGGGCGUAAAGGGUGCGUAGGCGGCGCGGUAAGUCGGGUGUGAAAUCUCGGAGCUUAACUCCGAAACUGCAUUCGAUACUGCCGUGCUUGAGGACUGGAGAGGAGACUGGAAUUUACGGUGUAGCGGUGAAAUGCGUAGAUAUCGGAAGGAAGACCAGUGGCGAAGGCGGGUCUCUGGACAGUUCCUGACGCUGAGGCACGAAGGUCAGGGGAGCAAACGGG